GAAAUAGCUUUAGGGCUAGCCUCAAGUAGUAAGUAUAGGCGGUAGAGCACUGAUCGGGCUAGGGGCCGUAAAGGUUACCGAACCCUGUCAAACUCCGAAUGGUUAUACUGCAGAGCUUGGGAGUCAGACUACGAGUGAUAAGAUCCGUGGUCAAAAGGGAAACAGCCCAGACCACCAGCUAAGGUCCCAAAUGCCGUACUAAGUGGAUAAGGAUGUGGGGUCUCAUAAACAACCAGGAUGUUGGCUUAGAAGCAGCCACCAUUUAAAGAGUGCGUAAUAGCUCACUGGUCGAGAGACCCUGCGCCGAAGAUUACCGGGGCUAAAGUACGGAACCGAAGCUUUGGCAAUUGACAUUAGUCAAUUGGGUAGGGGAGCGUUCCUGCAUGGGAGAAGCCUGACCGGAAGGACAGGUGGACAGGCAGGAAGAGAGAAUGCCGGUAUGAGUAGCGAAAGAUCAGUGAGAAUCUGGUCCACCGUAUGACUAAGGUUUCCUGGGGAAGGCUCGUCCUCCCAGGGUUAGUCGGGACCUAAGCCGAGGCCGAGAGGCGUAGGCGAUGGAUAACAGGUUGAGAUUCCUGUACUGGUUUGAUUUGUUUGAACGAUGGAGGGACGCAGGAGGCUAGAGAUGCGUGCUGUUGGAUAUGCACGUCCAAGCAACAAGUCUGAUGAUGAGUCAAAUGCUUAUCGUCUUAAGGACAAGUUGUGACGGGGAGCGAAAUUAAAGUAGCGAAGUGAUCGAUGUCACACUGCCGAGAAAAGCUUCUAGUUAGAAUCAGACCACCCGUACCGCAAACCGACACAGGUAGUCGAGGCGAGUAGCCUAAGGUGAGCGAGAGAACUCUCGUUAAGGAACUCGGCAAAAUGACCCCGUAACUUCGGGAGAAGGGGUGCUGCACAAUGUGCAGCCGCAGUGAAUAGGCCCAGGCGACUGUUUAUCAAAAACACAGGUUUCUGCAAAAUCGUAAGAUGAAGUAUAGGGGCUGACGCCUGCCCGGUGCUGGAAGGUUAAGAGGAUGGGUUAGCGUAAGCGAAGCUCAGAAUUGAAGCCCCAGUAAACGGCGGCCGUAACAAUAACGGUCCUAAGGUAGCGAAAUUCCUUGUCGGGUAAGUUCCGACCCGCACGAAAGGCGUAACGAUCUGGGCACUGUCUCAACGAGAGACUCGGUGAAAUUAUAAUACCCGUGAAGAUGCGGGUUACCCGCGACAGGACGGAAAGACCCCAUGGAGCUUUACUGUAGCUUGAUAUUGGGUGUUUGUACAACUUGUACAGGAUAGGUAGGAGCCGUAGAAGUCGGAACGCUAGUUUCGAUCGAGGCGCUGGUGGGAUACUACCCUCGUUGUAUGAACACUCUAACCCUCGCCGCUCAUCGCGGCGGGAGACAGUGUCAGGUGGGC
rnacentral:rRNA from 1 species